GCCUGACCAGGGCCGACAGGCAGCGGCUGGCGGCGGGGCUGGAGGUGCGCAGCCGCCAGCCCAGCCGCUUCCAGCAGCUCCACACGGAGCGAACAGCGCUCUCCUUCCCCAUCGGGCAGCUCCCCAGAGCCGAAGUGCCGUUGCUGCCAAGGGAAGCCCACCCAAAGACCAAUGGAGACCCAGCCUUCCCUUUGCUUCCUUUCUUCUGCACUCAAUACUGCACAGCUCCCUCAUGUGAGAAGCUCACCUGCCUCACCUGAGGGUUUAAAGCUGCCUCCAGGCCCUUCCAGGCAAAGUGUAGGUGCUCAGGAUUCAGAGACUUCUCCAGUACCUCCCAAGAAUGUCUUUGUCACCUCCAGACUUCUUGGGGUUUCACCAGUCGAGCCAUCAAGGGAACUCAUCCGGAAAGCUAAUCUCUGCAAGGUCACCAUUCCUCUGGUUCACAUGGACCUCAAACGCCACCCUGAGCUCAUGGUUCGCCUGACUCACAUCGACCCUGAGGCCACCUGCAGGGCCCUUCAAGAGAGCAGCAGCUGCGCAGCUGCAGAGCAGCACACCCCAGCCAACAAUCCAUCAGGCAGGGAAAGAAUUUCUACCCUUCCUUUUCAAACAGGUCCUUGAAAUUGACUCUUUGAAGUCUGGGGAGAUAGGAAAGGCUGUGAUCAUGAAGUCUUCGCAUCGCUUUGGAGCAGAGGGGAAAGCACCUGGCAGUUGGGUUUCUGGUGGUUGCCUCCUGCUACGGAGGACCAGUGGGACAGUUUUCUCUGUGUGCUCUCAUGGAUAGAUCUCAAGUGAGAAUCAGGUAGAAAGUGUCAAGUCAGCUCGGAAGGAGGACCUUGAAAACAUAAAGAUUCUCUGCCUGCUUUUCCUCUCCUUGCUGAAGAUUUGGAGGGUGUUCUGGGCAUUUUCCAGACAGCCUCUCUGUAAUGGUACAAGGCUCCCUCACACCAGAACCUUGCUGCUGCCUCACCUGAGGAUUCAGAGCUGCCUCCAGGCCCUUCCAGGACAAGUCCAGGUCCUCAAGAGCAUGAGGCUUCCCCAGCACCUCCCAAGAAAGUGUCUGCCACCUCCGGAC